CAAUCUUUUUUUUUACUAGCUUUAUAUUUCCAAACCAAUUUCUAAAUAUGACAUGUAGCAUUUUAAGUAUUACAUAUUAUAUUUAGCAGAUUACAUUUAGCAUAAUAUUAAUUUUCAACAUUAUACCUCCCAACCCCCACCUUACCCCAGACAGGGGAGGAAGGAAGCACUCCCAUUGGGCUGCUGGGCUAUGGGGUGAGUGAUGUGAGGAAUGUCCUCAGGUGAAUGGAGAGGGGCAGGGGAGUCUGGCUUUCUAAUAAUGAACUCUAGGGGGUGACUGCAGGCAUGUUCACAGAGAGGGCCCUGCAUGCCAUUUUUGGCACAAGUGCCAUAGAUUUGCCAUCAUUGGCUUAGGGAGACCAGGGAAGAAGGAUUCCGAGUUGGACUACCCUUAGAGUCUUACCUACAAUGGGAGAAACUUCUAAGGCAAAAGGGAAACAGACAGAGCAUUUACUAAAUGCAUACUCUGUGCCAACCACUGUGUCGUGUGCUGAGAAUACAAAAAAAGAAAUAAAACAAGGCAGUCCAUACUUUCAAGAAUUUUACAUUCUAAUAGGGGAAGAGAAGACACAAAGGGAGGAAACUAAACAUCACCUAUUAUUAUCCCAAAUAGAAGAUGAAGAAACUGAGGUAAAGAGAGAUUAAAUGAAUUGCUUCAAGAAACUGGGCAAAUCAGAGGUUGUGCCCCAGCUCCUGCCUCCCAGGACUGGUCCUCUGGCCUUUGAGACCACACUGACCACAAGCAUUCAUUCCAGCCUCACCUUCGGAGCUGCCUCACCAUCAGUGAGAUAAGCAUCUGUCAUCCCAGAUGAUGCCUAGUCAUGCUUAAUGCAAAACCUCAAACUAAAGCCUUUUAUCAAUCUAUGUCAGUGUGUCUCUAACUGGGGAUCUUGGGCACGUUGCCAAAGGGUUGUACCGACCGAAUGCUUUUUUCCUGACCUCCCCAGAGUAGUAGGAAUAAUCAUGAUGGAUCAGGCUGGCUGGCUGCUUCACCAUGGGUCUCAUGGAGCUGCUGCAUCUUCCAGGGGGUCCCUGUGGCUCUGGGGUCUCGUCACCACCUUGGUAUAGAGAGUGGAGUCUUUGAUUCGGCUUUGUUGCCUGAACCCGAGUCUGGGAAUACAGGCUAGAGAUUUGCAGCCAGUUCAUCAACCAGGCAUUGAAGAACAAGGGUCUAGGGACUCCAGGCCAGCAGAAGCUGGCAUUGAACAUGACUUUGUACAUGAACUAGAUAAGCUGAGCCUAAUUCCAUUCUCUCCAUUUACCCCCC
rnacentral:lncRNA from 1 species